rnacentral:lncRNA from 1 species
UUUCUCCUCACUUCUAUUUCGCCCUUCGUUUCCACUCGACUGAAACAUAUCACGCAGAUCCAAAACCCUAGCACAAUUGCUGUGCCAUCAUCUCCACACACUUGCCAGUCCUUCAAUCGAUCGCUCACGUUUCCCCUAACCCUAUAUCGUGCACCAUCAUGCUCCAUCGUUCACGCCUCCGAUCCCUGUAUUUCUGUUAUCUUCUCGUCAAAGAUGGGGCCUAUGGAUAUUGUUGGUAAGACCAAAGAGGAUGCUUCGUUACCGAAAG